AACGAACGCUGGCGGCAUGCCUAACACAUGCAAGUCGAACGAGACCUUCGGGUCUAGUGGCGCACGGGUGCGUAACGCGUGGGAACCUGCCCUUAGGUUCGGAAUAACUCCCCGAAAGGGGUGCUAAUACCGGAUAAUGUCUUCGGACCAAAGAUUUAUCGCCUUUGGAUGGGCCCGCGUUGGAUUAGCUAGUUGGUAGUGGAAAAGCCUACCAAGGCGUCGAUCCAUAGCUGGUCUGAGAGGAUGAUCAGCCACACUGGGACUGAGACACGGCCCAGACUCCGACGGAGGGCAGCAGUGGGGAAUAUUGGACAAUGGGCGAAAGCCUAGUCCAGCCAUGCCGGGUGAGUGAUGAAGGCCUUAGGGUUGUAAAGCUCUUUUACCCGGGAUGAUAAUGACAGUACCGGGAGAAUAAGCUCCGGCUAACUCCGUG
rnacentral:rRNA from 1 species